GUGGAAGCCCAGGAGCAGUGGCUUUGUUUGCCAGCAGCCGGAUGCCCGGGCCCACUGGGCAGGCCAGUGGCCGCCUGCGGGAUGAGCAGACUGCUGGGGGGGACGCUGGAGCGCGUCUGCAAGGCUGUGCUCCUUCUCUGCCUGCUGCACUUCCUCGUGGCUGUCAUCCUCUACUUUGACGUCUACGCCCAGCACCUGGCCUUCUUCAGCCGCUUCAGUGCCCGAGGCCCUGCCCAUGCCCUCCACCCAGCUGCCAGCAGCAGCAGCAGCAACUGCUCCCGGCCCAACGCCACCGCCUCUAGCUCUGGGCUCCCUGAGGUCCCCAGUGCCCGGCCCGGUCCCACGGCUCCCAUGCUGCCACCCUGUCCUGACUCGCCACCUGGUCUUGUGGGCAGACUGCUGAUCGAGUUCACCUCACCCAUGCCCCUGGAGCGGGUGCAGAGGGAGAACCCCGGCGUGCUCAUGGGCGGCCGAUACACACCGCCCGACUGCACCCCAGCCCAGACAGUGGCGGUCAUCAUCCCUUUUAGACACCGGGAACACCACCUGCGCUACUGGCUCCACUAUCUACACCCCAUCUUGAGGCGGCAGCGGCUGCGCUAUGGCGUCUAUGUCAUCAACCAGCAUGGUGAGGACACCUUCAACCGGGCCAAGCUGCUCAACGUGGGCUUCCUAGAGGCGCUGAAGGAGGAUGCCGCCUAUGACUGCUUCAUCUUCAGCGAUGUGGACCUGGUCCCCAUGGAUGACCGCAACCUAUACCGCUGCGGCGACCAACCCCGCCACUUUGCCAUUGCCAUGGACAAGUUUGGCUUCCGGCUGCCCUAUGCUGGCUACUUUGGAGGUGUGUCAGGCCUGAGUAAGGCUCAGUUUCUGAGAAUCAAUGGCUUCCCCAAUGAGUACUGGGGCUGGGGUGGCGAGGAUGAUGACAUCUUCAACC
rnacentral:sRNA from 1 species